AUGGCGCCCCUGGAGUCAGGCUCCUCACAGCUCUUCUUCGACAGCAGUGCGAUCGACGGCCCGUUCGAUGUCUACGAGUGCGGUACCUUGGCAGGCACCAGAGUCGUGCCAGAUCCACCUCCACCUGGAACCUCUUAUGGCAAGCAGAGAAGUUCCAGGAAUGCUAAAAAGGCUCGUCGUGUUCAUGGCUCUGAGGAGGUCGAGGACUGCUGGAACAGGCUAUUCUUGGAAGGAUAUCAAGCCGAUGUCCGCGUAUCGACGGGCGAUGGCAGCCAGAUCUUAUCGCAUUCGUGCAUUCUUGGCAUCAGAUCUCCGGUUCUGAGAAGUAUGUUGGAAGAAGCUAGAAUUGAACAUGGUUUCAGAAACAUCCUGAUUUCCGGUGUCCCAUCAGAAGCAGUCCGUGUCUUCAUCAGAUUUCUGUAUUCUUCACGCUUUGAGCAGGGUGAGAUGAAGAAGUAUGCCCUUCAUUUGCUCGUACUCUCUCAUGUUUUCUCGGUACAAUCGCUGAAGAUCGUCUGCACCGACCAGCUCGAGAGGUUUUUUCUUGCUCCUGAUAACGUGGUGGACGUUCUACAACUGGCUAGACUCUGUGACGCACCAAGGCUCUCGCUCAUCUGUACCCGUAUGAUCGUUGGAGAUUUCAAGACCAUCUCUCUGUCAGAAGGGUGGAAAGUGAUGAGACGGGCCAACCCAAGCCUGGAGCAAGAGCUUCUUGAGUUUCUUGUUGAAGUGGACACAGCAAGAAAGAGCUAA
rnacentral:rRNA from 1 species